UUUCGCAAUGCCCGAAAGGGUGACGAAGCGACGCCGCGUGUGGGAAGAAGGCCUUCGGGUUGUAAACCACUGUCGGGAGUUAAGAAAUGUAAGGAUGUUAAUAGCGUUCUUACUUGACUAAGGCUCCGGAGGAAGCCACGGCUAACUCUGUGCCAGCAGCCGCGGUAAUACAGAGGCGGCAAGCGUUGUUCGGAAUUAUUGGGCGUAAAGAGCACGUAGGCGGCUAUGUAAGUCGGUUGUGAAAGCCUUCCGCUCAACGGGAGAACAGCAGUCGAUACUGCAUAGCUUGAGUGCGGGAGGGGAGAGCGGAACUUCUGGUGGAGCGGUGAAAUGCGUAGAUAUCAGAAGGAACGCCGGCGGCGAAAGCGACUCUCUGGCCCGUAACUGACGCUGAGUGUGCGAAAGCUAGGGGAGCAAACGGGAUUAGAUACCCCGGUAGUCCUAGCCGUAAACGAUGGGCACUAAGUAGAGGGGUU
rnacentral:rRNA from 1 species